AACAGAAAAACAAAACUGAUGAAGUGGUUUUUCUAAGACAUCUGAGCGUCAUUCUCAUCAAUUUUAUUAAGCGGGGUCAGAUGGUACCAAUCGGUCAAACGGCACGGGCUCGGCGAGGUUAACAGCCCGCCCGUGCCCCCGAGUCUGAAGAAGGUGCGAGUGCGCCUCCGACUCCGCAGGGGGCUGUCCCUGCGCAGAGAGCAGCUGGGCACCUCGUCCAACACCCCCAAAUCGGCGAGGGCAGAAAAAGGAUACACGAAGUAUCGUAAAGACAGCAGCAAACACCACUGGGAAGCAUACCCGGUUUGGACCGCCUACCCCUGACUUGGAUGGCGAGGUGUCUCCACCUGCCUCUACUCUGAUGGAGGAGGCGGAAACGCGGAGCAGUGACCGGUGCUAACCAACGCUACGGAGGACCGGAGCGGCUGGCACUGGCGCACCAGCGGCGGCCUCACCGCAGGGACCCGUCACCGAAGACCGAAUGGAGGCCGGGAGCGUGGGCGGGCAGGGAGAACCUUCCAGCAAGGGGGCGUGGCUUGGCGGCUCCCCCUCCCCCCACUCCUGUCCGUUGUGGCACCUAAACUGUCCCCGCACCGCGCGGUGCAGCGCGAGAGGAACGACCGUUAUUCGCCUCGUUUUUCGAUGCUUCUCUGCCACACACCUCCCCCCCCCGCAAGUGUUUAAGUUACAGAACCGUUGCACACCGUACUCGUUACAAUAAGUUGUGUAUGUGUCCUCAUUAAAGUACUAUGUUUACGGAA